rnacentral:rRNA from 1 species
CCAGACUCCUACGGGAGGCAGCAGUGGGGAAUAUUGCACAAUGGGGGAAACCCUGAUGCAGCGACGCCGCGUGAGUGAAGAAGUAUUUCGGUAUGUAAAGCUCUAUCAGCAGGGAAGAAAAUGACGGUACCUGAUUAAGAAGCCCCGGCUAACUACGUGCCAGCAGCCGCGGUAAUACGUAGGGGGCAAGCGUUAUCCGGAUUUACUGGGUGUAAAGGGAGCGUAGACGGUAAUGCAAGUCUGGAGUGAAAUGCAGGGGCUCAACCCCUGAACUGCUUUGGAAACUGUAUGACUGGAGUGCAGGAGAGGUAAGUGGAAUUCCUAGUGUAGCGGUGAAAUGCGUAGAUAUUAGGAGGAACACCAGUGGCGAAGGCGGCUUACUGGACUGUAACUGACGUUGAGGCUCGAAAGCGUGGGGAGCAAACAGGAUUAGAUACCCCCGUAGAG